rnacentral:rRNA from 1 species
UACGGAGGGAGCUAGCGUUGUUCGGAAUUACUGGGCGUAAAGCGCGCGUAGGCGGCUUUGUAAGUUAGAGGUGAAAGCCCGGAGCUCAACUCCGGAACUGCCUUUAAGACUGCAUCGCUUGAAUCCAGGAGAGGUGAGUGGAAUUCCGAGUGUAGAGGUGAAAUUCGUAGAUAUUCGGAAGAACACCAGUGGCGAAGGCGGCUCACUGGACGACUGUUGACGCUGAGGUACGAAAGCGUGGGGAGCAAACAGG